rnacentral:misc_RNA from 1 species
GCAAACUUGGUCAUUUAGAGGAAGUAAAAGUCGUAACAAGGUUUCCGUAGGUGAACCUGCGGAAGGAUCAUUAUCAUACAAUGAAGGUGCUGAGGGCUGUCGCUGACCCUUUGGUCAUGCACGCCCUAGUACUCUUACAUGUCCAUCUCUCACCCCUUUGUGCAUCACCGCGUGGGCUACCUUUUGGCUCGUUCCAAAUGGGUUCACGUUUUUACAUAGACACCCUAUUAAUGCAUGUGUAGAAUGUCUUACAUUUUGCGGUCACACGCAAUGAAUACAACUUUCAACAACGGAUCUCUUGGCUCUCGCAUCGAUGAAGAACGCAGC